CGGCUGUAGCUAAAUGAGUUUAGAAGUUUUGUUGGCCGGAUGUCGUUAAUUUCAGCCGAUAAAUGUGUAUACUGAACUUCAUACAUCU
rnacentral:snoRNA from 1 species